rnacentral:rRNA from 1 species
UACAGAGGGUGCAGGCGUUAAUCGGAUUUACUGGGCGUAAAGCGCGCGUAGGCGGCUAAUUAAGUCAAAUGUGAAAUCCCCGAGCUUAACUUGGGAAUUGCAUUCGAUACUGGUUAGCUAGAGUGUGGGAGAGGAUGGUAGAAUUCCAGGUGUAGCGGUGAAAUGCGUAGAGAUCUGGAGGAAUACCGAUGGCGAAGGCAGCCAUCUGGCCUAACACUGACGCUGAGGUGCGAAAGCAUGGGGAGCAAACGGG